rnacentral:miRNA from 1 species
CGAUGAUGACGACGACGAUGAUGAUGAUAAGGAUGAUGAUGAGAUUAUGUUGUGAUAAUUAUUGUUAUCAUUAUCAUCAACAAAACCA